rnacentral:rRNA from 1 species
AGAGUUUGAUCCUGGCUCAGGAUGAACGCUGGCGGCGUGCUUAACACAUGCAAGUCGAACGAACCUUCGGGUUAGUGGCGGACGGGUGAGUAACGCGUGGGAAUCUGCCCUCAGGAGGGGGAUAACGGCUGGAAACGGCCGCUAAUACCCCAUAUGCCGAGAGGUGAAAUGAAUUUCGCCUGAGGAUGAGCCCGCGUCUGAUUAGCUAGUUGGUGAGGUAAGAGCUCACCAAGGCAUCGAUCAGUAGCUGGUCUGAGAGGAUGAUCAGCCACACUGGGACUGAGACACGGCCCAGACUCCUACGGGAGGCAGCAGUGGGGAAUUUUCCGCAAUGGGCGAAAGCCUGACGGAGCAACGCCGCGUGAGGGAUGAAGGCCUCUGGGCUGUAAACCUCUUUUCUCAAGGAAGAAGAUCUGACGGUACUUGAGGAAUAAGCCACGGCUAAUUCCGUGCCAGCAGCCGCGGUAAUACGGGAGUGGCAAGCGUUAUCCGGAAUUAUUGGGCGUAAAGCGUCCGCAGGCGGCCCUUCAAGUCUGCUGUUAAAACGUGGAGCUUAACUCCAUCAUGGCAGUGGAAACUGUUGGGCUUGAGUGUGGUAGGGGCAGAGGGAAUUCCC